ensembl:snoRNA SNORA70 Small nucleolar RNA SNORA70
GUACUUCAAGUUAAGCUGACCAGCGUUCUUUUCUCAUGGGGGCCUGGUGAGUCUCUGGGAGUAGUACAUGUAGCCAGAUGCUUGUACCGGCUUCCGUGAGGACCCCUGGAGACAGAC